AUUCUACUCCCUUCGUUGCACAAUACAUGCCUUCUAUUUGUCAAAAUAUAUAUGUAUCUAGACAUGUUUUAGUAUAUAGGUACAUACAUUUUUGGACAAAUGGAAGUCAAGUAUUUUGGAACGGAGGGAGUACACA
rfam:Triticum aestivum genome assembly, contig: Triticum_aestivum_CS42_TGACv1_scaffold_222002_3B